CCUACGGGAGGCAGCAGUGAGGAAUAUUGGUCAAUGGGCGGGAGCCUGAACCAGCCAAGUCGCGUGAGGGAAGACGGUCCUAUGGAUUGUAAACCUCUUUAGGCGGGGAGCAAUGCCGGGCACGCGUGCCCGGAGGGAGAGUACCCGCAGAAUAAGCAUCGGCAAACUCCGUGCCAGCAGCCGCGGUAAUACGGAGGAUGCGAGCGUUAUCCGGAUUGAUGGGGUUAAAGGGGUGCGUAGGCGGAUUUUUAAGUCAGCGGUAAAAGGUCCGGGCUCAACCCGGGCCGGCCGUUGAAACUGGGGAUCUUGAGUGGGCGAGAGGUAUGCGGAAUGCGUGGUGUAGCGGUGAAAUGCAUAGAUAUCACGCAGAACUCCGAUUGCGAAGGCAGCAUACCGGCGCCCGACUGACGCUGAGGCACGAAAGCGUGGGGAUCGAACAGGAUUAUAUACCCUUGUAGUC
rnacentral:rRNA from 1 species